rnacentral:rRNA from 1 species
UACACUCCUACGGGAGGCAGCAGUGGGGAAUAUUGGACAAUGGGCGCAAGCCUGAUCCAGCCAUGCCGCGUGAGUGAUGAAGGCCCUAGGGUUGUAAAGCUCUUUCACCGGUGAAGAUAAUGACGGUAACCGGAGAAGAAGCCCCGGCUAACUUCGUGCCAGCAGCCGCGGUAAUACGAAGGGGGCUAGCGUUGUUCGGAUUUACUGGGCGUAAAGCGCACGUAGGCGGACUAUUAAGUCAGGGGUGAAAUCCCGGGGCUCAACCCCGGAACUGCCUUUGAUACUGGUAGUCUUGAGUUCGAGAGAGGUGAGUGGAAUUCCGAGUGUAGAGGUGAAAUUCGUAGAUAUUCGGAGGAACACCAGUGGCGAAGGCGGCUCACUGGCUCGAUACUGACGCUGAGGUGCGAAAGCGUGGGGAGCAAACAGGAUUAGAAACCCGGGUCC